rnacentral:lncRNA from 1 species
AUUAUUAUUUUUUAAUAGUUAUUUCCCCAAUACAAUUUUUUUCUACUGUACAGCAUGGUGCCAGUUAUACAUACAUGUACACAUUCUAUUUUUGCACAUUAUCAUGCACCAUCAUAAGUGACUAGACAGAGUUCCCAGUGCUACACAGCAGGAUCUCACUGCUAAUCCAUUCCAAAGGCAAUAGUUUGUAUCUAUUAACCCCAAGCUCUCUAAGCACCCCACUCUCUCCUCUUCCCCCUUGGCAACCACAAGUCUAUUCUCCAAGUCCAUGAUUUUCUUUUCUGUGGAAAGGUUCAUUUGCGCUGUAUAUUAGAUUCCAGAUAUAAGUGAUAUCAUAUGGUAUGUGUCUUUAUCUUUCUGACUUACUUCACUCAGUAUGAGAUUCUCUAGUUCCAUCCAUGUUGCUGCAAAUGGCAUUAUUUUGUUCUUUUUUAUGGCUGAGUAGUAUUCCAUUGUGUAUAUACCAUAUCUUCCUAAUCCAAUCUUCUGUCGAUGGACAUUUGGGUUGUUUCCAUGUCAUGGCUAUUGUGAAUAGAGCUGCAAUGAACAUGCGGGUGCAUGUGAGGACACACCAUUUUUAUUGUUUUGGUUUUUUUUUUCUGUCUUUUUAGGGCUGCACCUGCAGCAUAUGAAAGUUCCUGGGCUAGGGACUGAACCAGAGCUGCAGCUGCCAGCCUGCGCCACAGCCACGGCAAUGCCGGAUCUGAGCCGCAUCUGUGACCUACAUUGCAGCUCAUAGCAAUGCUGGACCCUUAACCCACUGAGUGGGGCCAGGGAUCAAAUCCGCAUCUUCAAAGAUCCUAGUCAGGUUUGUUAGCCACAGUGGGAACGCCAGCAUGUGCAGUUUUUAAUGUUGUUUUUCACCCUUCUUAUCUCAAGAUCUAUAUGUCCUAGAAAAGCAUGAUUGGAAGGCUUUGUUGUUACUGAGCAUGCUGCUCUUCCAGAGAAUCUGCAUAAAAAGAUCGUCUGGGUCUUCCAAGAAGCAGCGGCUAAGGGGCAGAUUAAACAUGCCAGGACUUAAUAGGGGAAUUGCCAGUGACAAGCCAUGUGUAGGCAGCUGGCGUGGCUGGGAGUGUCAAUGUGAGAGGGACCCCAAACAGAGCGAAGAGGAAAGAAGUUUGGGCAGAUGUAUCCUAGGGGGCCCUGCAGGAUACAGAGCUUGACGCAGGUGGUCAGGGAGUCCUGGAGUGAAAGUCAGCUGUCAGAGGCGUUCUAUGGCACCCAGGAGCAGGCCUGCCUUGGAGCUGCGGCUGUGGACAGUCAACGGUCAGGCCCAGCCUAAAGACCAUGUGCACCAGGAGCCGGAUCUCUGAUCACAGCAGCUGGGGUAGUUUCGCUCCCUGUAGUUGGAGGUCUUUGAGGUGCAUUUUCAUGGGCACCCCAGGAGAAAUGGUCACUAACUGCUGCAGGAUCUCCUGCAGAGACCUCUGGCAGCUGGAGAGGGGAGAGAGGCUGCCUGUGGAAACCUGGGGCUGACCCCGCCCCAACAACUCCCUCAGAUGUAAACAUGCACUAUGAACGCACAUUUCCUGUGGGAGACCUAUGGAUUCUGAAAGGCACAAAUAGAUACUUCUCUGCAAAACAGUGCACAUCAGAGAAAAUCCCUCAAGUUCUGUGUGCUUGGGCUGCUGGCAUGGGGCCCCCUCUGUCACGUUGACCUGGUUCCUCACAGCCAGCUCCUAAGCAGAGGGGAUGGCUAGUAAUUCCUUUGGAGAGGAAAAACGUCUUAUAGGCAGGGGUGGUUGAAGAGUUGAGGAGGAGAAAGAAGAGGAAGGAAGAAAAGGCAAGAAGGGCAGAGAGAGAGAGAAAGUCAAGAGUUUCUGAUUCACAUUCAGUCCUCUGUUCUGUGCUCUUCCUAAAGCAGAGAAAAAUCCAGGAGAGCCCAGUUAGCUCAGUCAAAUUCCCCCAGAGGGAGGUGACAUUGGCAGCUGGAGGCAGGAACCCUCCCCACGAGGUUAGAGUCAAGUAGAGGCAAUGGCUCUGGCGAGGUCAGUGGGGGCUUCGCAGAGCAGCUGCAGAGACGGUCCUUCAGCACAGGAACCCACGCUCCAUGGGAGGCGUAGAGCCGAGGGGAGGACGGGCCUUCCACAGGGUGGAAACUGGAUAAGGCUGCGAUGGAGGGGAAGAACCCAGAGCCAGAGCGGGAGCAGCUGCCCCCAGACAGUGCCCUGCUCAGUAGGGGCUCGGCGAGGACCUUGCAAUUCAUUCAACACAGAGUUAUGGGCCCUCUGUUCAUCCUUAUGGCUGACACAGGGGACCCAAUUCAGCGAGAGCAAAAAUAGAAGUCCUUCUUGCCCAUGUGGGGCUACGUUUUAGUUGGGGAGACACACGAAUGAAAUAAUCCUCGAAUAAGUGUCAGAUAGUGACCAUGGUAAGUGCUCUGAAGGGGGAUGGGCAUUGGUGCCAUGGAAAAAUACAACAGAGAGAUUUGGUUUAUUCCAGAAAGUCAGAAAAUUUCCCCUGAGGAAGUGACUGCCAGCUGAGAUCUGAAGCGUCAGACAGCCUUAAACUUGCACAAAGAAGGCAAAGUAGUGCAAGCAAAGAAAGCACAUACCUACGCAUUGGCCCUUUGCUGGGAGGAGAAACGGUGCCUGAGAGACUGAAAUAGAGAGGGCAGCUGGGGUGGGAGGCACAGCCAGACCAGAGGGUGGAGGUGCAGCAAGGGCAAGGUUAAGGUCUAGCAGGUCAUUUUAGGGUCUUCGUUUUUGUCCCAGGAACAGGAGGAAGCAAUUGAAAGGCCUUAAAGUGGAGAAGUAAUAGGAUGAGAUUGGCAUUCUGAAAAAGAAAAAAAUGCUAGUUGCAAUGUGGAGCUGAAGUGGAGAAGGCGAGAGAAAAUGCAUGCAGAAGAACUGGUGCAAGAGAUGCCUGUGACCCUGACGGGAGGGUAGUGAAGGGGAUUCAAGAGAUGAUCAGAGGAAAACAUCGCAAUGAGUUGGCAAUGACUUAGACAUGGGCUGAGAGAACAGGAGUGGACCUGGGUUCCCUGCUUACACAUGGAAUGGGUGGGGAAGCCUUUGCUGAGAGGGGGGCACUGCAGAAGGCCCAGGCUUGGGAUGGAGGUGGGAGAUGUUCCUGUGAGACAUCCAGGAAGAAAUAGCAAGCAGGCAACUGCAUCCACAUCCCUCGUUUCUGACAAGUCAGCAUGAUGAGUUAGCUUCUGUUGCAUUCUGUUGCACUAGCCUUGGGAUGAGCUUAUGGGGAGGGAGAGGCACUGGGGAAGGGAGUCAGUGGGGUGGGUGUGUGGGUGUUUGCAACUCCUUGCCCCUCCCUCCAGAGCAACAGGGGCAGCUCUUUACCCUGGGUACUUGAGCCAGGCUGUGGAAGAAUUUCUGACACUACCUGAACAAGGCUUCAAAGAACCCAUAGCAAAGGAUCAGAGAAGACCCAGGAGGGGGCUCUUAAGUCUCCUACAGAAGGAAGUUCUGGGGCCUCAUGUUUGUCCUUCAUGCUCCGAAUGUGAGCUACCCGUAGUCGAACAGCACUGUUGAACUUCGCUGGGAUUUGGUUUCCUGGGAACCCAGAAAAGCACAGCAUGUUCCUGUGCGUGGAAGCAGUGUUAUCUUUGGCUUGGCCUGAGGUGGCCCCGGCGAGAAGAGUCCAGAUGGUGCUCCUGCCACCUGGAGGACAAAAGCGGGGACGUAGCCUGGCCCUCCUGUUUUUUCCCCCACAGUCUGGGGAUACAGAUAGAUGCUCCAUGGGGGAAACAACGAACUGGCUUCCCCACGAAGUCAUACCAAUCAGUAUCAACAGGUUCAACAAGCGUUUCCAGGAAGUUGGGCAUGGGCACCAAUGUAUUCCUGAGAGCCUGGGGGAAACUGGACCCCCUUCUGCCAUAAAACACCCCUGGUGCUACUAUCAGAAAGGGAAUAAUGGGUGGGUGAGCCCAGGGUCUGUCUGAUUGGUCGGUUUUUAUACUUCCUUAGAUGUUGUUGGAACUCUUCCCACCAGGCAACAGGGGCAGACUUAAUCCCCUGAAUUUGGUGGAAGGAAUUAAGGAUGAUGCCUCAGCUCCUGCAUCUCCUUUUCUGGGGUCCAGUUAUUUGCAUGAAGCAUGAAUUGAGCAUCUGCUCAAGAGUUUAGCAGGAAAGACUCUGCCUCUCAAAGGAGUUCUCCCUGUGGCACAGCAGAAGCGAAUCCGACUAGGAUCCAUGAGGUUGAGGGUUCGAUCCCUGGCCUCUCUCAGUUGGUUAAGGAUCCAGCAUUGCCAUGAGCUGUGGUGUAGGUUGCAGAUGAGGCUCAGAUCUGGUGUUGCUGGCCUCUGGCAUAGGCCGGCAGCUACAGCCCUGAUUAGACCGCUAGCCUGGGAACCUCCAUAUGCCGCGGGUGUGGCCCUAAAAAGACAAAAAGUCAAAAAAAAAAAAUUCUAUAGCACAGUUUUAGGAAACCCAUCUGGUCUUCCUACUACUAAACUUUGCUUUCUUUAUCAGCUUUAUCAAUACUAAAGGUAACUUUAAGAAAAUCUCCAUCUGCCCACUUUUCAUGUCUAUGUUGAGCAAAGAACAGGGGUGUCACUACUGGGCCCCUUAAAACUCCAGCAUAUUCAGAAGACUCUUGAGAAUAUCAACCCUACGGGAUCUUUCUAGGCUUAAAAUGAAGCAUCCUUCCAGCUUCACCCUCCUGAGAGACGUGAGUUUACCCUUCCAGCUGCUGUAUCUACUAUGAACUGGUACAAAUAUAUAAUGGAUAUCUUUUUUUCAUCAAUAAGUGUGAAUUAGCUAUAUAGCUAUCACAGUGCAGGGACAACUGAGGAAAUAAUGAUUUUGUGCCCUUCCCUGCACUCACAGCCUGGCCAGACAGAGCUAUUUUCCAUUUGCUCCUCCAAAUCCAUUUCUCCCUUUCUUCAUACUGCCAGACACCCACCGCAGGAGGCUGGCCCAUAGGGAUUGCAUCCAUGGACUCCAGUUGAGUUCAGUCAAUGGAAGUCACUGGAAAGAGGUGAGAGGGUGACAAAGAGGUGAGAAUAUUUUUGACCUCAGUCUCUGCUGUUCUGGUCCUGUUCCCCUACUGAUGGUCAGACCAUCAGAGGGCUCCUCUCCCACGUUACAGCUCUCACUAACUUCCAGAAACUCCACGUCCUCUUCUGCCCCUUCAGGCUGAGGGGCAGUAAUGACUGCUCACUAUCCUUAGAUCCUUGGUGCUUCACCAUCCCUUCUUUUUUCUUCCUUCUAGAAAGCCUCAAACACCUCCCCCCACU